UUCACGUUAUAAACUCAACACAGACAGGUAUUUACUGGAAUGCCUGUGGGAGACUGAAUGUAUUUUAAGGAAUUUGGUGUAGAAAAACUCUGUGGCAUCUUGAAGUCAAUUUAUGUUUAAGUUUCAAUGUUGACUCUGUUGCAAAAGGAAAUCGAACGCAAUUCUCAAAUGGGCAUUAAAUGACGAUCACUAUAACAACGAUGACCAAUCCAAUCCAUGGAUACCAAGUUCUCAUCUUGAUUGUUUUUUUCCACGUGGGCAUCUUUGGGCUGCGAUGCUGGAAUUGCAAGUCCGAAACCUGCCGUGAAGACCCAACCUCGACCGACGAGGCUCAAAAACAAGACUGCGGUCAAGGACAGAUAUGUCAG